UACGUAGGGGGGCAAGCGUUGUCCGGAUUUAUUGGGCGUAAAGCGCGUGUAGGCGGCCAGGUAGGUCCGUUGUGAAAACUCGAGCUCAACCUCGAGACGCCGGUGGAAACUGCAAAGCUAGAGUCCGGAAGAGGAGAGUGGAAUUCCCUGUGUAGCGGUGAAAUGCGUAGAGAUGGGGGAGAACACUCGUGGCGAAGGCGGCGACCUGGACAGAUAUUGACGCUGAGGUGCGAAAGCGUGGGGAGCAAACAGG
rnacentral:rRNA from 1 species